CUUGGAGGUUGUGCCCUUGAGGCGUGGCUUCCGGAGCUAACGCGUUAAGUCGACCGCCUGGGGAGUACGGCCGCAAGGUUAAAACUCAAAUGAAUUGCCGGGGGCCCGCACAAGCGGUGGAGCAUGUGGUUUAAUUCGAUGCAACGCGAAGAACCUUACCUACUCUUGACAUCCAGAGAACUUAGCAGAGAUGCUUUGGUGCCUUCGGGAACUCUGAGACAGGUGCUGCAUGGCUGUCGUCAGCUCGUGUUGUGAAAUGUUGGGUUAAGUCCCGCAACGAGCGCAACCCUUAUCCUUUGUUGCCAGCGGUUAGGCCGGGAACUCAAAGGAGACUGCCAGUGAUAAACUGGAGGAAGGUGGGGAUGACGUCAAGUCAUCAUGGCCCUUAGGAGUAGGGCUACACACGUGCUGCAAUGGCGCAUUCAAAGAGAAGCGACCUCGCGAGAGCAAGCGGACCUCAUAAAGUGCGUCGUAGUCCGGAUUGGAGUCUGCAACUCGACUCCAUGAAGUCGGAAUCGCUAGUAAUCGUGGAUCAGAACGCCACGGUGAAUACGUUCCCGGACCUUGUACACCCCGCCCGUCUCACCAUGGGAGUGGGUUGCAAAAGAAGUAGGUAGCUUAACCUUCGGGAGGCCGCUUCCCACUUCGUGAUUCAGGCC
rnacentral:rRNA from 1 species